AUACUUACAAUGCACUGGAGCAACUGUGAUCAAGAAGGCAGUUCUCCCGAAGCGAGGCCAACUCACCACGCACAAACUGGCUGAGCUUCGCGUGUUUCCUACUCGAGUGGGUGGCGCGGUGUUAAAUUUUUGUUAGUCGGGCAAACCUGCGUUCGCGCUCGUUCGC